CUUAUAAUUACACACUAUAACAGUUUUAUGUACACAUGUGUCUUUCUUUAUGUAGGGAUCAGGAUGAAGAGGAGGACCAUAUUGAUAACUUUGCUGGUGUCAAUUUAAAGGAGGAGACGGCUCAUUUUUUACCAGCAGCAUCAGACACACCCACAAAGAGCAUCAGUGAUGAAACUUUUUUAUCUACAGCAUUACUACGAAAUAAAGUGGCAACUAUUGGUUCUCGUUAUGGUGUCACAGAGAUAACUGAAGAAUUUUUAACUUUCUUGUCUCAUGCAACUGAGGU